CCUACGGGAGGCAGCAGUGAGGAAUAUUGGUCAAUGGGCUUACGCCUGAACCAGCCAAGUCGCGUGAGGGAAGACUGCCCUAUGGGUUGUAAACCUCUUUUGUCAGGGAGCAACGCCGGCUACGUGUAGCCGGACUGAGAGUACCUUAAGAAAAAGCAUCGGCUAACUCCGUGCCAGCAGCCGCGGUAUUACGGAGGAUGCGGGGGUUAUCCGGAUUUAUUGGGUUUAAAGGUUGCGUAGGCGGAAUGCCAAGUCAGCGGUAAAAUCGCGGGGCUCAACCUCGCUCCGCCGUUGAAACUGGCGUGCUUGAGUGGGCGAGAGGUAGGCGGAAUGCGUGGUGUAGCGGUGAAAUGCAUAGAUAGCACGCAGAACUCCGAUUGCGAAGGCAGCAUACCGGCGCCCAACUGACGCUGAAGCACGAAAGCGUGGGUAUCGAACAGGAUUAGAUACCCUUGUAGUC
rnacentral:rRNA from 1 species